UAAGGGUAUUCUAAUCAUUUUAGUUUUUUUUUCCUUAUGCUAUUACAACAUCAUUCCAUUCAACCAAACACAAGAAUAGUAUUACAGUUUUAUUCCAUUCCAUUCAACCAAACAAUUGAAUUACUGAUUAUAGCUCUAUUCCAUUAGAGUUUUAUUCCAUUAGAGCUCUAUUCUGUUAGAACUCUAUUCCGUUAGAGUGAACCAAACGUACCAUUGGGGUUUGAAGACGUCAUUAUUGAAGGAGAUUCACUAACGGUCGUUAAAAAGCUUCAAAAAAAAGAAGAAAAUGACAAAUCUGUUAUCGGAGGACACAUAAACGAAAGUAAAGGAAAAACUAGAAAUUUCAGAAGUCUUGUGUUUAGCCACAUACCUUGGGGAGCCAAUUAAGCGGCACAUGCGAUGGCAGCAUGGGGAAGAGGAAGUGAAUCGCCGACUUCUAGGUGGAAGAAACCUUGACAGUAGUUGAACUAGUCAUUCAGAGGGAUCAAAGGGGAAUUGGUUAGGAGGAUAGAGAGGUAGUCAUAUCGGCAUUUCUGAGUCCGGAAAAAGAGGUGACUUGAUUUGAAUCUCCGAGGAGCUCAGUCAAUAGGGAACUUGGGGAACGAAAAUGAGUAUGUGAUACAAAGGAGCAUUGGUUCUUGUUUUUGCGAAGAGAUUUACCGGAUAUGCAAAACAGAGAUGAAAGGAAGGGGAAAAGUUGUAGGCAUUUUAGAUUUUUUCUUUGUUUUAGUUUUUUUAGGAAAUUGAUCUGUUAUUUUUCAGUUUUAGGAUGUAUAAGGCGCCGUUUAAGUUUUUUAGGGUUUGUUUCUCUGAGGCACCACCCAUUGCUAGCCGUGCAUAUGAUGACAGAUGGCAACUUUGGGCAGCCUCGUGUUUCGUUAGGAAGCUAUUUUUUCAAACGUUGUGAUCAUUCCCCAUUUUAAUGCAUUUAUAGGUUUAGGGUUUAGGGUUUAUUAUGCCGAUUUUACUUUAAAA
rnacentral:lncRNA from 1 species